rnacentral:rRNA from 1 species
GAUGAACGCUGGCGGCGUGCCUAAUACAUGCAAGUCGAGCGGACUUGACAGAGCUUGCUCUGUUCAAGUUAGCGGCGGACGGGUGAGUAACACGUGGGCAACCUGCCCUGCAGAUUGGGAUAACUCGGGGAAACCGGGGCUAAUACCGAAUAAUAUUGAAAACCUCAUGGUUUUCUUUUAAAAGGCGGCUUCGGCUGUCACUGCAGGAUGGGCCCGCGGCGCAUUAGCUAGUUGGUGAGGUAACGGCUCACCAAGGCGACGAUGCGUAGCCGACCUGAGAGGGUGAUCGGCCACACUGGGACUGAGACACGGCCCAGACUCCUACGGGAGGCAGCAGUAGGGAAUCUUCCGCAAUGGACGAAAGUCUGACGGAGCAACGCCGCGUGAGUGAAGAAGGUUUUCGGAUCGUAAAACUCUGUUGUUAGGGAAGAACAAGUACCGGAGUAACUGCCGGUACCUUGACGGUACCUGACCAGAAAGCCACGGCUAACUACGUGCCAGCCGCCGCCGUAAUAC